rnacentral:rRNA from 1 species
UACGGAGGGGGCUGGCGUUACUCGGAUUGAUUGGGUGUAAAGGGCAUGUAGGUGGCAGGUUAUGUCGAAUGUGAAAUCCCUCGGCUCAACUGAGGAACUGCAUUCGAAACUGGCUUGCUUGAGUGACAGAGAGGAAGAUGGAAUUCCCGGUGUAACAGUGAAAUGUGUAGAUAUCGGGAGGAACACCAGUGGCGAAGGCGAUCUUCUGGCUGUCUACUGACACUGAAAUGCGAAAGCUAGGGGAGCAAAC